rnacentral:rRNA from 1 species
GCUGGAAUCGCUAGUAAUCGCGGAUCAGAAUGCCGCGGUGAAUACGUUCCCGGGUCUUGUACACACCGCCCGUCACACCAUGGGAGUCGGAAAUGCCCGAAGUCUGUGACCCAACCUUAGGGAGGGAGCAGCCGAAGGCAGGUCGGAUGACCGGGGUGAAGUCGUAACAAGGUACC